UGGGGAAUAUUGGACAAUGGGCGAAAGCCUGAUCCAGCCAUGCCGCGUGUGUGAAGAAGGUCUUCGGAUUGUAAAGCACUUUAAGUUGGGAGGAAGGGCAGUAAGCGAAUACCUUGCUGUUUCGACGUUACCGACAGAAUAAGCACCGGCUAACUCUGUGCCAGCAGCCGCGGUAAUACAGAGGGUGCAAGCGUUAAUCGGAAUUACUGGGCGUAAAGCGCGCGUAGGUGGUUCGUUAAGUUGAAUGUGAAAGCCCCGGGCUCAACCUGGGAACUGCAUCCAAAACUGGCGAGCUAGGGUAGGGCAGAGGGUGGUGGAAUUUCCUGUGUAGCGGUGAAAUGCGUAGGUAUAGGAAGGAACACCAGUGGCGAAGGCGGCCACCUGGGCUCAUACUGACCCUGAGGUGCGAAAGCGUGGGGAGCAAACAGG
rnacentral:rRNA from 1 species